CAAUAUCAGUCAUGGUUCAUGUGGCUUAUGUACAAUUUACUUGCUUAAGUGAUUGGAGUUGGGAUGUCAAGUCAAGGUUAUUUAAUUUUUCAAUCAAUCUUAAGUUCAAUUACUUAACGAGACCAAUGUACUUGGAAGAAGAAGAACAACAUUGAAUGAAAGAGAUUAUAUUGAUUUUCAAUCAAUUACAAAAGGAGGGCCUGAGGCCAGUACAUUGGAAUUAACUGAAAAGUAAACUAUCCUAAGCCUCGGAUGAUGGUGAAGGUGCCUCGGUAGCAGGAGCCUCCGCAGCCUGAGCAUCAGAACUCCCUUUUUCUGCCUCCGUUGCUUCAUCCCCAAUCGCUUCAUCAGCUGGGGUCUGAGGCACUUCAUCCACAAACUCCGACCUCAGCUAUGACAGGUCUUGAUUUGGGUAGAGUUCCUCAGCCCUCUCCAUCAUUUCAGCAUGCGCAUAAUUUCUCCAGUAGAUGCUGAAGCCCUUGUACUCCUCAGUGUUGUGGAAGUUGGCAAUGUAGUCUUUGACUGCCUCCUCCCUCGCCACAUUGGCCUCUUCCUUUGCCUUGGCUAAUUCAUCCACAUGCCACUUUAUUUGGCCCUCCAAGAACUUGUAGGCGUUUUGGGCCCCAGCCAGCUCCAGAUUGGCCUUCUCCAAGGCCUUAGCAGUUACCUUUUGGUGGUCAUUGGAGACCUCCACUUUCUUGGUAAGGAAAGCCAACUCGCACUGGGACUCAUAGACCUCCUUCUUCAAGGCCUCGAUUUGAGCCAAAGCAGACUCCAGCUUGGCCACGUCUUCGAUUUUUUGGGCCCUCGCUUCCUCUGUCUCGGCCUUGGCCUUCUUCAGCUCCUCUGCAAGGAAGGUCACCUUCUUCUUCGAGGAUUGGGUCCUCGUCUGAAAAUCAGUAAGGGCCUCCCUGCACUUCAAUGCGAGGCUAAAGGUCCUCACACUUUGGCUAACAAGGGCCCUUGUCAAGUCCAUCGCGUCACAAGAAGAGACGUGCAACUGCCACCGGUCUGUCCAGAAUUUGUAGAAGCUUUCAGUAGCGCUUCGGAUCUCGGCUGACAGAGCGUCCACCAACGCCGGGGCCAGGACCUCCUCCCUCCUAGCAAGGCAGUUCGAAGAUUUCUCUUGCACUCUUGCAAGCCUCUGCUUGGUAGCUUCAUCCUCUCCCUUCUUAGCCGCCCUCCUCGUAGCCUCUUCCUCAGCCUCGGCACGCCGCACCAUUUCAAUCUUUACCGCUUUUGAGGCCGCCUCUAGGAGCUUCGGUUGAGGGGCUUCUUUUCCUUUAUGG
rnacentral:lncRNA from 1 species